AUACAUGCUAACGCGGCUCAAAGUAUAGUACGUGUCUUCUUAUAAGCUUAAUAUCUGAUACUAGUUGUAUUUGGACCGAAGGUAAUACAACUAUUUCUGCAAGUUGAUGGAGUACUUCAAGCCUGCCUAACAUCCGCCGCGCGUCGGCCUGGUGUUGCACCAUCUUCGGGAUCGGCCACGUGUG